rnacentral:lncRNA from 1 species
AAACCAUUCUCACCACAGCCAUUCUCACUAUAACCUUCUCGAGUAUAGCCAUUCUCACUAUAGCCAUUCUCACCACAGGCCAUUCUCACUAUAACCAUCUAUAUAGGCCAUUCACUCUAUCCAUUCCACCCACUAUAGCCAUUCUCACUAUAGCCAUUCUCACCACAGCCAUUCUCACCAACAGCCCAUUCUCACUAUAGCCAUUCCACCACAGCC